UACGUAGGGUGCGAGCGUUAAUCGGAAUUACUGGGCGUAAAGAGUGCGUAGGUGGUUUAUUGCGCCAGAUGUGAAAUCCCCGGGCUUAACCUGGGAAUGGCAUAUGGUACGGGUAAACUAGAGUACGGUAGAGGGGGGUAGAAUUCCAUGUGUAGCAGUGAAAUGCGUAGAGAUGUGGAGGAAUACCGAUGGCGAAGGCAGCCCCCUGGACUGACACUGACACUGAGGCACGAAAGCGUGGGGAGCAAACAGG
rnacentral:rRNA from 1 species